rnacentral:snoRNA from 1 species
CUGGCCUCUUCGAAGAUCCGUAAACUUUGGUACAUUGUACCUAGUGGUUUAAUGAUUCAAAGCGAGGCCUAGAGUGAAUGUGAAUGCCAUAAAUAGGAAAAUAAUAUAAAUUUUGGCAUCUCAUUGAAUUGGUCCCAGUUGCUGGGCAGGUAUGGUUUGGGAUCAUAUUGGAUUCUAUUCUAUUACACUUCAAUGAUACAUCU